GAUGAACGCUGGCGGCGUGCCUAAUACAUGCAAGUCGAGCGAACAGACGAGGAGCUUGCUCCUCUGACGUUAGCGGCGGACGGGUGAGUAACACGUGGAUAACCUACCUAUAAGACUGGGAUAACUUCGGGAAACCGGAGCUAAUACCGGAUAAUAUAUUGAACCGCAUGGUUCAAUAGUGAAAGACGGUUUUGCUGUCACUUAUAGAUGGAUCCGCGCCGCAUUAGCUAGUUGGUAAGGUAACGGCUUACCAAGGCAACGAUGCGUAGACGACCUGAGAGGGUGAUCGGCCACACUGGAACUGGGACACGGUCCAGACUCCUACGGGAGGCAGCAGUAGGGAAUCUUCCGCAAUGGGCGAAAGCCUUACGGAGCAACGCCGCGUGAGUGAUGAAGGUCUUCGGAUCGUAAAACUCUGUUAUUAGGGAAGAACAAAUGUGUAAGUAACUAUGCACGUCUUGACGGUACCUAAUCAGAAAGCCACGGCUAACUACGUG
rnacentral:rRNA from 1 species